rnacentral:rRNA from 1 species
CGGACGGGUGAGUAACGCGUGAAGGAUGACGGCCUAUGGGUUGUAAACUUCUUUUUUCAGGGAGGAAUCAAUGACGUGUACCUGAAGAAUAAGCAUCGGCUAACUCCGUGCCAGCAGCCGCGGUAAGACGGAGGAUGCAAGUGUUAUCCGGAAUCACUGGGCGUAAAGCGUCUGUAGGUGGUCAAAUAAGUCAACUGUUAAAUCUUGAGGCUUAACCUCAAAAUCGCAGUCGAAACUAUUAGACUAGAGUAUAGUAGGGGUAAAGGGAAUUUCCAGUGGAGCGGUGAAAUGCGUAGAGAUUGGAAAGAACACCGAUGGCGAAGGCACUUUACUGGGCUAUUACUAACACUGAGAGACGAAAGCUAGGGUAGCAAAUGGGAUUAGAUACCCCAGUAGUC